rnacentral:rRNA from 1 species
GAAUAUUGGACAAUGGGCGAGAGCCUGAUCCAGCCAUGCCGCGUGCAGGAAGACGGCCCUAUGGGUUGUAAACUUCUUUUAUUUGGGACGAAAUCACUCCUUUCCAGGAGUGUUGACGGUACCAGAUGAAUAAGCACCGGCUAACUCCGUGCCAGCAGCCGCGGUAAUACGGAGGGUGCAAGCGUUAUCCGGAUUCACUGGGUUUAAAGGGUGCGUAGGCGGGCAGGUAAGUCAGUGGUGAAAUCUUCGAGCUUAACUCGGAAACUGCCGUUGAUACUAUCGGUCUUGAAUAUCGUUGAGGUAAGCGGAAUAUGUCAUGUAGCGGUGAAAUGCUUAGAUAUGACAUAGAACACCAAUUGCGAAGGCAGCUUGCUAAACGAUCAUUGACGCUGAUGCACGAAAGCGUGGGGAUCAA